GGGCGGUUAGCUCAAUGGCAGAGCGUCCGCUUGACGUGCGGAAGGCUGGAGGUUCGAGUCCUCCACCGCCCA
rnacentral:tRNA from 1 species